rnacentral:rRNA from 1 species
CUUAACCGGGCGUUAAGUUGCAGGGUAUAGACCCGAAACCCGGUGAUCUAGCCAUGGGCAGGUUGAAGGUUGGGUAACACUAACUGGAGGACCGAACCGACUAAUGUUGAAAAAUUAGCGGAUGACCUGUGGCUGGGGGUGAAAGGCCAAUCAAACCGGGAGAUAGCUGGUUCUCCCCGAAAGCUAUUUAGGUAGCGCCUCGUGAAUUCAUCUCCGGGGGUAGAGCACUGUUUCGGCUAGGGGGCCAUCCCGGCUUACCAACCCGAUGCAAACUGCGAAUACCGGAGAAUGUUAUCACGGGAGACACACGGCGGGUGCUAACGUCCGUCGUGAAGAGGGAAACAACCCAGACCGCCAGCUAAGGUCCCAAAGUCAUGGUUAAGUGGGAAACGAUGUGGGAAGGCCCAGACAGCCAGGAUGUUGGCUUAGAAGCAGCCAUCAUUUAAAGAAAGCGUAAUAGCUCACUGGUCGAGUCGGCCUGCGCGGAAGAUGUAACGGGGCUAAACCAUGCACCGAAGCUGCGGCAGCGACACUGUGUGUUGUUGGGUAGGGGAGCGUUCUGUAAGCCUGUGAAGGUGUGUCGUGAGGCAUGCUGGAGGUAUCAGAAGUGCGAAUGCUGACAUAAGUAACGAUAAAGCGGGUGAAAAGCCCGCUCGCCGGAAGACCAAGGGUUCCUGUCCAACGUUAAUCGGGGCAGGGUGAGUCGACCCCUAAGGCGAGGCCGAAAGGCGUAGUCGAUGGGAAACGGGUUAAUAUUCCCGUACUUGGUGUUACUGCGAAGGGGGGACGGAGAAGGCUAUGUUGGCCGGGCGACGGUUGUCCCGGUUUAAGCGUGUAGGUGUGUGUUCCAGGUAAAUCCGGUU